rnacentral:lncRNA from 1 species
CCUGCUUUCAGCAUUUGAUACCUUUGAAAAUUAUUAAAUAAUCUCUCUAGAAACAUGAAGAAAAAAAUCAAAAUUAAGAAUGAAAUAUCUAACUUCACUAUCAACCUGAAUUUUCAAGCUUACCACUGCUUUCUCUUUCCAACACAUCUACCAUCUAGAUAUGUACAUGGUGUUGAGUUGACCAUGGUAUAGUUAUUUACAUAAACCUAUCUCAUCCCUUUUGUGCAUCUUGCUCCAGUCACAAAACUAACUAUGCUAAUUAGGCAAAACAUUUUACCGAUUCCAUGACCUCAAGUAUGAUCCUAUUUGAUCAUUUAAAGUAGGAUUUUGAGGUGGCAAGCUCAUCCAUGUCAUAUCAUCAGGCACCAGAGCACCAGGUGCAUCACGUUCACUGAAAUAAUCUAGCGGAUGAGAAGAUGGUGGUACAACAGCAUUGAUCCUAUGUGUACCUGCAUCUACUACUCCAUAGGUUCUGGGCGAAAGGAACUGGUCAGUGUGUCUGAUUGACUCAUAAGGGCUACCUGAACGUAAUUGGUUACAUUGAGAUAGAACACUAAAUAAGUUAUGAUUGGAGUUUCCUCCAGUGCCAAGACUCUGACUAGAUAGAUUGCCAUUGCCAGAUCCAUUCCAAGCACCCUGAAUUUGCUGGUCUGAAGAGAACCAAGGCUGACCAAUGAAAUUAUUGGUAUUAAUGUGAGAAUGAGAGGGUGCUACCAUGCGAGGGGCACUAACAGCCCAAUCAGUAAUAUUUCUUGCAGCUAGUGGAUCUUGCCUGGGGAUUAAGUAACUUCCUGUGUCAGAAUAAAUAUUACCUGAUACGUUUUCUGGCAUGAAAAUAUUACCAGCUUGCCUCUGACCUUGAUCCAAUGUCAGAGACGUUUGCAGAGACUCCUUAAAAUGACUAGAAAAAUGGCCAUCCCCCAUUGGAAUAUCGUUUGAAGCCUGGAAAUUUAACCCAGCUCUUUUUUGUUCAUGAUGAUAGGAGCCAACCCCUUUGUCCUUGAUGAGGGACUGAAUCAAGCCAAUUUGAUCCUGGCUUUGGUAAGAACCGAAGGGACCAUCAUCUGACUGCCUGUGUAACAACUCCUUACCAAUGUUUUCUUGGUGUAAAUUAGAUUCUGGACCAAUCAUUCGGGUUUGUCUAACUUGGUUAAUUUGUGAAUUUACCAGUGAUAGCCCGUUGGCAGUGUAGUCAUGGAUCAUACUUAAAUCAUAGUAAGGGUGUGACAUUUCAACUGCUUGCCAUGCAUGACCCUCAGACGAUCCUACACCGAUGGAAUCAUCCCGAGAGUUCAUAAUCCUUGAAUGCUCAGUUUUGUUCUGCGAAGCAUCAUCUCCUUUUGAUAAAAUAUUUUUUUCCAAAUCUAUAUGAAAGGGGUGGAGCUCCUCAUCAUCGCUGUGAUAAGAUUUAUUAACGGACGAAUUCUCUGGUAAUCUAUCAACAGUAUCAUUAUACGAGAAAAGAGCUCCCUCACUGAUGGGAUCAUCCUGAGAGUUCAUAACCAUUGAAUGUUCAAUUGUGUACUGUGAAGAAUCGCCUCCUUUUGAUAAAAUAUUUUUCUCCAAAUCUAUAUGCAAGUGGUGGAGCUCGUCAUCGCCGCUGUGAUAAGAAUUGUGGAGAGACGGGUUCUCUUGGAAUCUAGCAAUAGAAUCUUCAUUGGAUGAGAAAGGAGCUCCUUCACCGAUGGGAUCAUCCUGACAUUUCAUAAUCGUUGAAUCUCUAGUUUUGUUAUGUGAAGCAUCGUCUCCUUUUGAUAAAACAUCUUUUACCAAAUCUAUAUCCAAGCGGUGGAGCUCGUCAUCGCUGUUGUGAUAAGAAUUAUGGAGGGACGGGUUCUCUGGGACGCUAACAAUAGAAUCUUCAUCUUCCAAGCUAGACUGGUUAUUAACACCGCCAUGCUCCUCGUCCUGGGCCUGGACUCCUGUGCUCAAAAUAUCCUCAUCCUGUGGAAAAUUAAUGGAAAAGGUUUUAACAAAAACCUUUAAGAAUAAUGGCCACUAUUAUGCUACAUGAGGCAAGGUAAACCUAAGUAUCUUGUCAAAUUCAAGAAAUAGAUAUACUGAUACAUGUAUGCAAGCUCGCUGCUAGGAAAUUUUAAUGGAUCUUCAGAAAAGGACAAACCUCUACCAGUACAUUUGAUUUCUCUUUCAUCUCAAGCAACAAAGAAUUUCUCAUUCCAUGUUUCUGUAUCAGUCUCUCUGUCCAGUUUGCAUAUGAUGCAGGGAGAUGUUUCUUCACCAAUUGUAACCUAUAGAAAUUAAAUAUCUUCUAGUAAGCAAAGCAAUAAUGGUAAACAAAAUAUACUGUA